GGGCCGGUAGCUCAGCUUGGUUAAGCGUUAAAACACCAUAGAGCGCACGGCUGAUAACCGUGAGGUCAUGGGUUCAAAUCCCACCCGGCCCACCA
rnacentral:tRNA from 1 species